AAUUUAAGAAAAAAGAAAAAAGAGUGUUCGAAAAUGUCAAAUAUUUUCGAAACGAAAGACACAAUUUAUCCCUAUGUUCUUACAUCGUUACAUUCAAAAAGUAGAGUUCGUGUUAUUCAAAUCUAACCCUGAUCUCGUAUUCAUUAUUCGUCGAAACAUUAUAUAUCAAAAAGUAUUCGCGCCAAGGCCUAUCGAUCAAACGAGCAGAGAGAGAGAGAGAGAGAGAGAGAGAGAGAGAAAAGAAAAAAGCAACAAGCAGGUUAACCAUUCGUAUUUCUUUCUUUCGUGGUUAGUUGCCAUUGAAAAGGGGAACACGGUCGAACGAAAAGACUCGCGAAAAGUGAAAGUUCGAGAAAAGAAACGCGGCAAUUGUAAGCGGAGAGACAGAUGGAUCUCGGCACGGAGGCGACAAAUUGCGCGAUGAAUCCGAUUAAAAGCUGUGUAUCUGGUUCGCGUGCGAGCUCGCGGUCAGCUUUGCUGCGCGUGUCUCGUAUGCAACGCGUAUCCGAUGCUGGCGGCGAGGUGGGUGGGGGUGGGGGUGUGUAACAAAGGCGCACGUUGCUUUCGCGACGAAAAACCCAUGCUAAAUGGGGGUUGGACUGAAAGACUGAACAAGGAAGGGAAGGCGAAGGGAGAGCGCAGAGUCAAUUGCGCCUGGAAAUAGGUCGGAGUGGAGGGCCGGUGGGUAUCGAGACGACGAUGACGACAACGAUGACAGCCAGAAAGGAGCGAAAAGCGAUGUGUAGCGCGCUUUUUUUUCUUUUUCAAAUUACGAGGUACAACAAUACAUCCGUGCGUGUGUAAUUUGUGGAAAUGUGCCUAUGUAGACGAUAAAGUCGAAGGCCGCGAUACGACGAUAAUUCAGGAACAUGCGGUUUAUUCAAACGUUGCGACGCAGCUGCGCGUCUGCAUCCUGCAACGCGCGAAACGUGUGAAACAAUCAACAAAUGGCCGAAUAAUAUUCGUUCCUUUCUUCUCUUUGCGAUUCGAAUAAAGCUGAUUAUAUAUAUAUGUACACCGAUGAACGUGAUCUAACAG